rnacentral:lncRNA from 1 species
CGGGCGCGGUGCCGCGGAGCGGCCGCGCGGUGAGGGGUGCGGGGGGGUCUGACGGGGAAACAAAGGGGAACAAAGCGACGGCGGCCGCGGCUGUGCCGGGCUCUUCCCUGGCGAAGGGUGGGGAUCGCCCUCAAAUUAACGGCGGUGUUGGGAAGGAGGUGGUUUUCGGGUCUGAAAGCGGAAGGGAUCGGGGUUGCGUUGCGCCAUUCGGUUUGCUGCAGGCCGGUAUCAAUCACAGCAAAAUCAGCUCUAAAAAUCGUGUGUGUGGCGGGGGGAGGGGGGGGGGGAGAUGCGGGGGACCCUUUGUCGGCGGAACGCGGCGCAGAUCGGUGCGGGGCGGCGCGGAGGGCCGCGGCCCGGACGGCCCCGUCGGUGUGCGGGGCCUCCGCCGUGCCCCGUGCGGGGCCCGCGCCGUCCCCGCGCCGAGAACGGAGCUCCGGCAGCGCCGGGACCGGGGGGAGCCGCUCCGAGCGGUUCUGGAGUUUUAAACGCGGUUCUGCGGGGUGCGAGCGAGGAGCGUUGGGGUUAAUCAUUCCCACUUAAAAAAAAAGAAAGAAAGAAAGAAAGAGAGAAAAUUAGCCACAAGCGGCGCGUUUGGUAAUUAAAGCGAUUCGCGUGAAAGAAUAAUGUUUGUUAAGCGAGGUGGUCGGCGCGGCUCCGCGUGUGUGCGGUGUGCGGCCACUUCGCUCCUUGGGCUUUUCGGAAAGGCGGCCGUACGCGCUGCACGCGGAGCGACGGUCCCCCGUCGGUCCCCCGCCUCGGCCGCGCUCCGUGCCGUGCCCCGGGGGUGGGCGAGGGGGGCAGCAGCAGGAGGGGGGGGCACUUAUUCCCAGCUCACUCCUUCACAUCGGCUUCGCUACGUCCAGAAAACGACACUUAAAACAACAAAAAAGGAACUCUUCUUCGUUUUUCUCCCUCAAAUAAUUCCCCGUAUGCAGACACGGAGCUUUUGCUCGCGAACCUAUUGUUCGGCUACGAGCUACAGUUUGCAGUGAUCUGUAUUUGGCGACGAUAGCUAUUCUGUUGCGAUAUCUGUGUCGUUACAGCGCUGCGGUCGGGGCUCUCCCCUCACCGUUCGGGAGCUCCCCGUGGGGCGGUGCAUCCCGAGCCGGGGCUGCGCCGCGCCGCUUUGCCGCACUUCCGUCCCCCCGCGUUAUUUGUCGGUGGCAUUUCUGGGAGGACCGCUCUCUCGGCGCUCCCUCCGCUGCCGCCGCCGCUCCGUCGGCCGCUCGGAGCCGUUACGGGACCGUUCCCGGAGAGCGGAGGGGAGCGCCGCGAAUUCACGCGCCGGGGGUGGAACGGCAACGGCGGAACGCGACGAACGGGCGUUACUACCGGCUCCGGCCGUUGUUACGGGAAAAGCUGCGAUAAAACUCCGGCGGGGGCUUUUCUCGACGGGGUCCCGCUCAACUUUUCCCGAGAAGUCGACGUCGUUUAAAAGAGGCGCUGAAGGUCUGAGGCGGCGACGGGACCGCGGCGUUCCGUCGCGGAGCGGAGCGGUGCGGGGCCGCUCGGGGGGACCCCCCGGGAGGGGCGGGGGUCCGGUGGGACCUCGGGCUCCGCUCCUCGCAGCCCCCCCACCCCCAUCCCGCCUCGGGGUGAGGCUCCCUCCCGGUCACAGGGAAGAGAAAACCAUUCGGUGGUGGAAGAAAAGGCGAUUAAAUUAAAUUACUUUGGGGAUUACGGGCCACAUGCGGUGUAUUAAAGUGCUUUAAGCUACUUUGUAGCUUCUUUGGCAUUAGGGCGUUUAAUACGGGCUCGGUCGGUCUGCCCGGGAGCUUUGCUGGACGAGAAGGAGCGGGGUGGGAGGGAGACGGGACGCAGGGGAAAAGGAGACGGGAGCAGCACAGGGAGCUCGGGUCUGAGAGCUUUGCUUUGCUCCAUGUAGACCAGAUCCGGCUUUAAUUCGCCGUGCUAUAAACAAUAAUUUUUCUAAUCGGGGCCACCGAUACGAAAGGAGAACGCCCGUCUGUAGGCAGGGAUCUGAAAUGGGUAAUGCCGCCCGGGCAGCGUGCUUUGUAUGUUGCCCAUGGGGCGCGGGGACAGCCGCUGCCAGCGCCCGGCGUGCAGUGCCCGGCCGGGACGAGGGCACAAACGUCGGAGGUUUGAGGCUGAGGAAGGGGAAAGCCGAUUCCUUUCCCAGAUCCUUCCCCCCGGGAGUGAGCGCUUCGGUCGGGCAGCGCUUCGGCCGUAGGCAGAUGUGUGAGACGGAGGUUCGGAUCCGCAGGGAGAGCGGCAGCAGCGUGGGGAGCUCCUGGAAUCACGGAGCGUGUGUCGCAUUUCUCACUCGGUUCGGGAUGUACCCAGAGAGAGGGGGGGGGGGGGGGGGGGAGAAGGACGAGACGAGGGGAUUCCUCGCUUGUUUUUCCUUAAGGCAAAUAUCUGUUCCGUGGUCGAGGGAAGAGGCGGCAGCGUUUUUGCAGUGGUGCGAAGUGUGCCUGUUGCUAGAAAUGCUUCUCACUUUGUUCCUGAAAAGUGUGCCAGAUGCACUGGUGUGCUCGCACUGCUUUAUUUAUGUAAUGCGACGGGGGGGGGGGGGGGGGGGGUUGGGUGUGCUCUGUCCCUCGUGCAGCCGAUUUGGCUAAAUUUGCUGUGCUGGACUGCAAGGGCUACGUGCUCCUUUAUCCCACUGGCAGAACGGAGGGGCCUCUCCUUGCUGCUGCAUCCCUGCUCCUCGGGGAUGCUGCUCGGAAAGCCCAUCGCCCACAGCGUGCCCUGUGUUCAGCUCAGCCCCAGUUAGCCAAAGGGCUGGCGGCUUCGCGUCCCACGCUGAGGGAUGAACCGUGUGCUGCUGGGCUCAUCCGGGUUGCAGCAGGAGCUCCCUGCUCUGCUACAGCCCAGGCACAGGGAUGGGAGCAUGGAGCCCUCGCUGCGAGCAGAUGAGUGUGAGUUAAUGGGGUACAGCCCACGGGCAGGGUCAGGUUUGCUUCUGCCACAAAGAGUUCCUAAAACAUAAUAAAUAGAGCCGAGAGAAAACAAACCUUUCCCUAAGUGGGACCGCGCUGCUCUGCCCAGCUGCCCGAGGAACUGAAUGUUUUGAUGAAAUCCAUGAUGAUGUAUACAGAACAAUUUUACUCUUAACCAGCUGCCACCUUCUUUCCUGCCGUGCUGAUCUAUUCGGACCCAAACACUUUCUCUUCCUUAAGAGCAUAGAUUUGCUCGAGGAGAAUCACCGAAAACAGGGUGAAUAAUUCCUAUGAAUCAGCGCCGUCCUGAGAGAAAGCAGCACUCGUAAUCGGAAAGCAAAGCGUCCGGAGGCAGCGCUGGGAGGGCUGCAGUGCUGUCCUGCUGGCUUCCCCUCGAAGGGCUGCUCAGCCCCCCUGCCCUCUCCAUAGGCACAGCACGAGGCAGACACACAGCUCGGCCCCCGGGAAGGGGCGUCGGGACCCUUUGCCCCCUCCUCCGUAGAAACUGCUGGUGGCGCACAGAGGCCUCUGCCGCACCGGGUGAGGUUCACACCACUCUCAGGAGCUUUAAUUAGAGCCGCGCUGCACGCACUGCUUUCAUAGCUUCUCCUGUUUAUUAUUUAUGAUUUAAAGCACAGACGAAACAACGGGAGAAUAUAUUUUUUGGCUUCGCUUGCUAAGGAAAAACGGCACGUGGUGGCACGGGGCAAUAAACAUUACAAAUAAAUAAGUAAGAGGAUUUCCACGGCAGUGCCCACCUGGUGCCGGGUGGGGUUGCAUUGCGCGCAGAGCCCCAUCUGCUGGGUCAGUGCCAUCCCAUGGGGGUGCCGCGUCCCUGCCUGGGGUGGGGGAAACACCGCCCAGAGGUACGAGGGGUUUACGGGCAGAUGCCGGUGCUCCGACGACGUUUUCUUCCCUGUUAGUCCUCCCUUUCGUCAGCACGGCGGAAAAAGAGACCGCUGCGAGCCCCACGUUGACGGCGGUCAUUUAAACCGCUGCUGGGAGGGCGCGAUGGACUGCAGCGUUCGGGCUGCAGCGCGCGGCGCCGCGGCUGUGCCGUUUGUUGAGCUUAUUUCCCGGCCGAGAGGCGCGCGCCCGGCCGCACACCUCCGGCUCUGCUGCUCACAGCGGCGCUCUUUGAAGUUCGGGUGUUCGUCGGCGCGCGCAUCCCCGGCUCUGCUUCCUAAAGCCCGCCGCCGGGAACAACGCGGCCGCUCCGAGCGAGGAGCGCGGGACGGGACGGGAACGGUGCCUGAGCUGUGAGGGGCAGCCCGGGCUGUGCGGCUGCCUUCCCCCUGCGGGCAGGCGGCGAUCCGGGGUGCUCUGCGCUCUCGGUAGGGGCAGCCCAGAAACCGAGAGGGAAAAUUCAAAUAGGUGAGGCUGUGGAUGUGUUUGACGGAGAGGGUUCGGAGCGCAAAGUGAAACGGGGAUGCAGCAGAAAUUGGGUUACGUGGCUCUGAGUAAGUGCUCUCCCGUCAGAGCGGGAUUUAUUUCACAUCGCUGCUCUAGUUCUCGGCCUGAGGGUGUUUAACUCACCCGGAGCUGUUUGGCCUCCAGGAUGGAUUCCUGCAAUUACGUGUUUAUGAUUGCGAGCGCUGCCUGGGAAGCAGCAGGAGGAUAUCAUUUGGGGAGUGCUGGGAGGCACGGAGGGAGCUGGAGAGCCUUCUCCUGGGCUUCAGCCACUGCUACACUUCGGAGGGAGGCUGCAGCGCACUCCGGGCCUGACGUGCUGCUGCACUUAGCAGCUUGAAUAACAGGGCGUCAGAUAGGUAUUACUGCAUCGCCGUGACUUUAAACUCCUUCCUCGUAGUGACAACGUGCAGCUCGGGGCUGUGCGCGGUGCUCACCUCAGGCGUGUUUUCAGACCGCUCACAGCAGGCAGUGAACACGGCCUGCCCGAGGUUCCGUGGCUGCGGGCCUGCAGGGCUGGGCACGGCCUCCCACGGCCCCACACAUCUCACAACCUCAGUGACCUGCCCAGCGCCUGCCUGCUGCCCCACGGAUGCUCGGGACGCCUCGGUCACACACUGUGGUGCACAGCGUGGGGAUGCCCGGCUGUGGGAGCCCCGGCUGGGACCAGCCAUGACCGAGGCCGGACCGCGGGCAUCUAUCGCAGCCAUCUGCCUGCAGCCCCACGCCAGAUGUGGCUCGAAGUCCUCAGAUGCCCUCUGCUGCCACGGACCAGAAUUAACAGAUGGCUCCGUGUAACCGGGUUUAGAUUUGCUGAAGUUUGCUAUUAUCUCCGCUUUUGUAAAUGGAUGGGGGCGGGGAAAUAAUAUCUGGGAUUAUUACAAAACAGGCAGAGCUUUUCAAAAAGUGUUAAGUCUGGGGCUGGGUCCCUUCUGACUCUGAAUGCCAUUGUCCCACAUUUCAAAAUGUUAACUCUAUUUUUAGCUUUCUCUUCAGAGCUCCCUCCCCUGAUAGCUUAUCCCUCUCGGCAUGAGUUUGGCCCAGCGAGCCGCCCAGGGCACGGCACACUUUGCCCCAGCAUUUUGAGCCCCAUUGUGCCUGAUGGAACCAACUCUGGUGCUGUGGCCGGGCUCUGCUCAGGGCAGGCACUGAGGGACGCAUUCAGCUGCCCGAUGUCCCUCAGCGUCACACAGGCCAGCAUGCAGGGGUCUGUGUCUGAAAUGGAAUGGGUGGCACCGAUGUCCCACACACAUGCCUGUGUCAGGGCAGGUCUGUGUGCAGGGAUACACACAGCAGGCCUGGAACACAACAGAUCCUGGAGGGGAUCCCUUGGCAAGCUCCGGGAAUUGAGCAGCUUUGCCGUGCCUGAGCUUUUGCUGUGCCUGAACUUUUGCUGUUUCUCACAGCAGUUCCUAUGAGUAAAAGCCAACCGAGCCUCCCCACUUAUGCUCCCAGCUUGGUUCCUAAUGGAGGGGACCAGGGUAGGUUGUGUCCCCUCUCUGUACAGUGCCAAAGCCACCUCAUGUCCUGGGGCCAGCUGCUCACUGGGAUGGGAUGGGAUGGGAUGGGAUGGGAUGAGCUUCCCCAGCCAUCCUCCAUUUUUAGCCACACAGUUCUAUGCUGCUUGCACUGUUCUAAAGCUUGCUUUCUUUUCUUUCUUCUUUUUUAUUUCUCUUCUAGAACAUAAUCUUGAAUUUACAGAAGUCCGUGGCAAAAUCUGGUUGUGAAUGGGGGCUUUGUUCUGCGAGACUAUUUCUGAAGACUCCUGGCUCUCUGUCUGCCUUUGUGUACAAGGCUGACACACGGGCCCAUCCACCCGCGCUGUGCCCAGCAGCACACCCUCUCUUUCCAGCUGCCCUCUUGCAGGGAUGCACACAGCUCUCCGGUGGGUGGGCUGUAUCCCAUCACCGUGGCAAACCUGUGGGGCUGUGAUAGUUUAUAAAACCUGACAGCAUGGUCCAUUGCAUGUACUUUUUCUAAAUCCAUAUUUUUCCAAUUUUUUUUUUUUUCCUGUAGUGGCAAGUUUUUUUUCUGUCCAUCUGGGAGCAGAAUCCUGUGCUCAGCGUAUGUAAAUAACAGCUGUUUCCACUCAAUUGCAUUUAUGUACUUAACACUUCAAAAUAGACUUUUUUCUAGAAGUUUCACAAUCUAGUCACCAUCCGUGCUUAGACUGAGGUACUGGGGGAGAGAUUAAUGAAACCCCUCCGGAGUGGCUGACAAAAGUAUACAGCUGUAGCUCUGGAAUCCCUGCACAGGAUGGAUCGCUGAUGCUGACGGCCGUGCUUCAAUGCACUGUGAAGGCAACUUCACUCCUUAGGCACCCUCAGCUCUGGCUUCUGGGGCUGCUGAGGGGGUAGCAGGAUGCCAGGUGAGGAGAGGAGCUGUUCUGAACUGGUAGUGCCUUCCUAGCAAAGUUAAUUUGUCAUGCAGAGCAGCUGAACAGGGGAAACAAUGGCAAGUUAUUUACAGGGAAAAGCUCAUCCGCCAGUGUCGCAGAUUUUUGAAUGCAUUAACCUAUUGCAUUCUGAGAAGAAAGGCAGCUCUUUAAUGCUCUGGUAUGUCUUUUGUUGUAAUGCCACUAGCUCUGAAAUGAAAAUACAGCCUUUUGGUUUUAAAAUGCCUCGAUGAAGACUUCAAGAAAUUAAUGUCCAAUUAUUUUUUUUUUGUCCAGAAGCCUCAUUAUUUUCUCAAAUGCCUCAACCUGAGCUAUUUCAUUAGAGUUUUGGAUCCUCUGAAGGCUGAGGAUUACAGAACAUUGAUAUUUAGUUACCCAUUCAUUCAAUUUACUGCAAUGCAGGCCGCUGAAAGAGUUGUUUGUUCCUAAAUCCAGGCUGUUUUUUAUGUCACUGUCUUUUUUAUUUUGCUUAUCCAGAAGAAAAAUACUUUGAUGUUUACUGCUGUCUCAACUGGAACACCUGUGAACCGGGCAGGACCAUGCUGAGGACUCAAGCUGUGAGGAGAGAGCAAUAACGGUGUGGGAGCUGUUGCUCUCACACAUUCCGAUGUGCCUGUGCCAGAGUGUUUAUAGCAGAAGCAAAGAGGACCUGAGCUCGGGUUGUCUGUGAGAACAGCCACCUGCUCCCACAGGGCAUGUCUGUAUUUCUGGAUAAGAACAUUCCUGAUGCCAGGAGGACCGGCUUACAUUUCCCACCCCGCAGUGCUCCCCAGACUCUGGUGCCCUGCGGGUCCAAUGUGGAAUGAUGCCUUUUUGUGUCUCUUUCAGUUCAGAGUGCCUGAAAUGAGGUGAGACCGCUCUGCAGCCUCCAAGAAUGGUGCUUCCCUAGUGUGAAUGGGAGGUACAUGUGUGUUUUGGAGCAUGCUAAUGUCUGAGGGUGUGCGGCCAUCUUGGGUUGCUCUGGGCAGAGGCACAACAAGGCCCGGCCUCUGGCGCAGGCCCUGCACUGCUAGGGGGGCCAGCUGGGAGAGGGCUGAGGGGAACAUGGUGAGGCAGUGUGGGCGCUCAGCAGCCCCAAGCUUGAGCUUGGUGACCAGGCUCAGAGGGGUCAGCCCGUCGGCCUGCUGAUGGGCCCAGCUGGCCGGGCACAACCAGCACUCUGCAGGUGGUGUGCUUCACUCUUAGGAAAGCACAGGGAUUCUCAGGGGUCAUUUCCUCAUGUCACAAGUUAAAGCCUGAGCAGUGUUGAAGCAAAACAGUCAGAAGUUUGAGGGCCAGGACCAGCCAAGCAGCGUGGGGGUACUCACCACUGUUGCCUGCCUCAGGGUUGCCCACACCCUCCCUCCUUCACAGGCUGUGCCCCAGCCACGGUCACCGUGUCACCUUUCAGCCACACCAGUGGCUUCAUUGGGCUCAUUUCAAGUCUUUUUCUUCUUAAACAAUAUACAAUAUAAUAUAAUAAUAUACAAUAUAAACAAUACAGCUGUAUAAAGUCAAUGAAUUGUAACCCACAUGGUCAAUGUGACACAUGGAGUGUUUGUUGCAGUAGGUUUGAACAUACAAAUACACACUCUAGAAAGAGAAGUGUUAGGCCAUUUUUCUUAUUCUCCCUGUUAUGGCGAACACUUGGCACUGUGUGUGCCCUCCUUCUCAAUCAGAAAUCCUUUCUCUUAAUCAGUUCCUAAAAUCCAUAGAACUCGUUGCCAUCCUUGGUUUCUCCAUCACUAAAUACAAGAUUUUAACUGCAUAAAAAAUGGGAUGGGAGCGAGGCAGUUUGACAAAGAUGUAAGGUACUCAUGGAAAACAACAAGCGAAUCCUGACCUAAAAGUGGGGACGUGGUUUAGUGAUGCAAUAUUGGUGGUAGCGGGAUGGUUGGACUGGAUGGUCUGGGAGGUCUUUUCCGACCUUGGUGAUUCUAUGACUCUAAGUCAGGAUUAAAAAAUACAGAAUAACCAAAAAAUUAAGAGGGAAUGUGAACUUUUAGAUUACCAUAAACUAAUGUAAACAAACAGUUAGACCUUUUUCCCUGGAAUUACUUUAUUGACUGGAAGCCUCAGAGCACCUUAACGAAAGCAGAAGCAGAGAGAAAGUCCGCAGCACAGCCAUUUUGUUAUUUGUCGUGUUCGUCUUCUGUAGCUACCUGGAGGUAACAGAUAGAACCAUGGGCUCAUCAGAAGAGGGACUACAGAGAUGCAUAAAAUAAGCAACUCUUGUUUAUUUGGAAUAAAUAAAAUGAAAGAAAAAAAAUUAAGAGCUUCGCUACUAACUUUUAAUAUUUUUAGUAUUUAGAUAAUUAAACAAAAGGAGGUGAGAGAUUAAAAUCCUAUGCACAGUCGUUAAGCAUGUGCAUUACUGCAUACAGAGAACAAAAACCAGGAAGUUAGAAAGCUGUUGCAGUGAAGGCAAAACACAUUGCUUCAUUUGCUCAGCAAGAGAAAACUGCUUAGUCUUUAAAAUAUUUUGCUGACUUUCUCAUCUCCUCAUUCAGGACUUCUGUAUAUGGACUACAUGCUACUAAAGGUUAGCAGGAACAGCAAAAAAAAAAGGUUUCACCUUUAAGCAGAGUACUUCUGUAUUUCUGUCUCUGCUCUCAAACUGUUGCCCUACCCUCCCAACUCAACCAACCAAAAAAUAAUUCCCAAACACAAUAAAACUACUUUUAUUUGCUAUGAUAUGGGCAUCUAAAUCUCCACCGCCCUUCAAAGAAGAGAGAGAAGCACCUCCAGAAAACAACGUGUGGCUUAUUCUAGGUAUUUUUUUUUUAAAUGGGAUUUACUGCCUCAUUGAGGUACUUUGUAUGUGUGUCCAUUGACUAUACAGUGAGUCUACGACAGUUAACUCAGGUUUAGAUGUCUAAUUAGUAGUUGUCCCAACAUUAAGAAACAAGUCUAGCUCUUAUAAAUUGUAGGUACACAAUUAGUCUGAACUUUAUUCUAGUGAAAAGUGGGCUCUGAGUCAAUUUAUUCUCCAGUAGUAUUGAAGCAAAACACGCGUCCUCCAUAACAGAAGAGGGAUGCAGCCUGCACAGUCUAUGUCUGCUUGACCAUAUAACCUUGUACUGUUUUUCAGGAUAGAACGAGCAUGUGGGCAAUUGUAACAACGCACCACGAAAACUGGAAUAACUGAGAAAGGCAGCGUCGACAUCAAACAUAAAUUACUAUUAUGAUACACUAUAAAGCUGCAGCAGAGAUGUAGUGGUGGCACAGCAGAAGCUGGAGAUGUCAGGUGAAAUCCAGGCCCUCCCAACAGCCAGCUUUUCCAUGGGGCUGAAUAGCUGCAUAGGGCUGGGGGGAUGGGGUGGCUCACCACUCCCUCCAUUCUUGUCUCGAGGAACUGGAGCAUACAGACACGAAACUCGAAACUCGUCAAAUGGGCACAUUUGGCAGUGCUGUACUACUGACUCAAUUUUUCAAAGCCACAAGGGUUGGGUGCUUUUUGCUGUUGUUUAGUAAGUAUGAAGAAAGAUACAUCUCUGAUAGACUAGAAAAGUCAAACAGUUCAAAGCAAACAAGAAAGUGCUAGAAAAGAACCUUUGACCCUUUGAAUCCAAGCACUUUCAGACCUUCCAGGAAAUAUCUUAUUCUUCAGUACUUGCAAAUUUAAUUAAACAACAGCUGGUGCAUGUCGCUCAUAGUGUUAAGUCCCACGAUUCAGCUAUAUGAUCUACGGCUUCGGACAAACCCAGUAGAGCCACUGUGCAAGACUGCCUCCCGGUGGUGGUACCACGAACCUGCAGAAUGACAGAAUUUGCACACAGAAAAGGCAAAAAACCCAUUCCAAAAGAAGGCUUCCUUUUUGAAUUCAGGUCUAGGUAGAGUAAGGGAAAAAUUUCAGUGAGGUUUUAAUGGCUUGAAUUGAGGACAAACCUUUUGAUAUGUGACUGAAGCAGAGCUUCUAGUGGAAUAGCGUACUAACAAGGAAAGCUCAGAGAGACUUUCAGUACAACAUUAAAAUAAGUUAAAAAUCAGCAAGAUGUACUCAAUUGCACACUGUCCGCAGCAAUGAGCCUCCUGAAGUCUGAAACAAUACCUAUUAAGCACAAGGCAGAUGGCUGAGUGCCAUAACUUGGAUACAAAAACACUACAGCAGAUUUCCCAUUCUACCAAUUCUACGUAACCCAAAUUUUCAGUUACAAAGUUAGCACAAGUGAAAAAAAAGACAACAGAAAGCCCCAAACUGCCUUUCAAAUUGAUUGUUCUUUUAGGCAAAAGCAGGAAAAGACUCCAGCAGAUGGAUUUCCAAUUCCAAUUCUUCAAGUAAAGAGAAACACACAGUUAAAGACAGCUUUAUGUAGCUGUUCAAGAUGAUGAAAGCCAAGAGGACAGCUUGAAAUUACUGUGGGAAUAGGAGUUUAGUUGGGUCACGCUUCAGAUGACCCAGACGAAAGAUUUAGUAUAAGAAAACAGAAAUAUUGGCAGCGCAGUGCAGGGAAAGAUUUUAAAACACCCAUUUUAUGGAUUCACGUAACAACAAAUUGGCAGAGGGUACGCGCAGUGAGCGCGUCUCAGACUCGCUCAGUUCCCAGUAACUGCUCAGAAGAGGAAGCACUUUAAAUCAGCUAGCAGUCCCACACAUAGCAGAUGUGUAGUCCUCCAAAUACCUGAGGAGUGUUCAAAAACACGAGGGAGAAAAUGAGAAAUGUAACAACAUUUCUGCAGUGACUGCGGGUGAUAAAUUGUCAGGUUUGACAGGAAAGAACAGACAAAUGUAGUAAUACUGUGCUAACAAAAGGCUUCUGCAGAAGAAAGUGUCUUAACAGCAUUAUGCAGGCAUAAGCAAGAAUGUGUUUGUGGGGGGGAUAAAUACUUGAAAGCUGAACCCAAGAAAGAACAUCUUUUCUUAAAUCGGAAUGAAAUCAGGCAGGGACAAAUUAGGUCUCAGCUUCCCAAAAAGAAUGGUGGUUCAGUUUUACAUGGUGGAUUGUAACAAAGGGGUGAGCGUGAGAUGUAACCUUCUCACAUACGGACCUGUGUCAGUAACAGUAACGCCAUAAACCCAUGCACAUACUAACAUUUGCUAUGCCACCAAUUACUAAAAACCCUUCAAAAAUGUGAUACUGUAAGCAGAAGAAUAACUACUUUUGUUCAACCGAAUGUGCAGAGUAAGCAGAUGUCCUUCCCAUGAACACAACAAACAUUCCUUCAUGACAGUAUGUUGUCAUGUGAGCAACGCAUUGUGUCACACAAAGCCAGAAUCACUGUGCUGAUGUAGGAUUACACACGGCAUCAGAUUAACAUAGAAGCAUAGCAGAGAGGAGCAGAACUAUUCCAUGCUAUCCCAGAACAAAUCAUUUUGGGCUAACUGGUAUUACAUGUUAAAAGUAACAGCCAAAUACUUAAGACUAGCUUGACGCAUCUGACAUUAACUUCACACAAUGAAAGCACUCAAGGAAAACAAGUUAUUAAGAAUUCUAGAAAAAAGCAGGUGUACUUCACACUACAGUGUGUGAAUUAGAGACUUUACACAGUACUCAUCUUCUGGCAAAACACAUGGAUAACACAAGCAGGCAAAAUGACACUAGAUGAAUGCAAGAAACAAGUACCUUCCUGUCUUAUCCAAGUUGCCUUGGACAGAAAGUGUGAUGACAGUAUUUUAUUAGCAGAAAUAUUUAAGCACUGCAAGGUGCUGAAGCUAUGAAGCAGAUUAAAACCACGUUUCUUGAAUUUAAAGCAUUUGAAGGACCAGUCCUUUCCCCUUGGUAAGCUGGAAAGAGUAGGUAUCUUCACUGAAUCAUUACUGGGCUAAAGCAAGGAACUAUUCCUCCCCUGAGCUACACCUGUUUAAUUUAUAUACAAACAUACACAGCAUCCUCACCAAACAAUAGUUAGGGUGAAUUUAAAAUUAAAAACAACAAAACCAUACACAAAUAUCUCAAAUAUUUGGGAAUACCGAAUGAUUAAAGGGCGAGGGAUGCCCUGGAAGCUGAAGUUUAACCAAGUUGCCCAGCUUCCAGUGUAAGAAAAGAGCCUUAAAUUCUUUAAACCUCAGUAUUCAAAGCUCAUCUGCACUUCAAGUAUUAGAUUUCUAAAAUAAGAAACCACAGCACGUCCAGUUCUUGAACUCCCACUCUGAAAUACUGCUUCUAUGCACUCACUUUACGAUAAGCCUCUGACCUACUUUAAUCAGAGCACUCCAUCAUCUGUUACAUGCAGAUCUGAGACCGGCACAUUCUCUGACCCUCCGCACACAGUAUUCUUCAGAGCCCUCACGUCAUCAGUGCACUUCUGUUGUUUUCCUAUUAUCAACUAAAUGAAAUGGGAAAAGUCAAAUUUAGUUAAGCAUGGUUUCGUUAAAACACACAUGCAGAACUGAUAAACGUUUCUGUAUUUUUUUUAUUUCAAAUAAAGGUCAAUGACAACGUGCUCACGAGCAACAAGUCAUCUUAAUCAUCUGUCUUUAGGAGGAUUAGGAUUCUUCCGUCUUCUCUGAUACCUAGGAGAUAAAAAAAAGCUGCUGUGAAUGCAAGUUUUGGAAAAAUCUUUGAUUUUCCUGACCUUCUUCCCUCCAGAAGCAGUUUGGAGACUACACACGUAAGCAAAAUAUAAGACAACACAAGCACAGUUUAUGACCAUUCAUUAGAUGUCAUCCCCGUUGUUCAUGAAGUUACAUAACACUACUCAUUUCUGCUGCUACAUCUGCUACAAGCACACAAUAAUCCAUUCAGCUGUAGAACUGAUUAGAUACAAAGGCUGCUGUUUACUCUUAAUCCUUUGUGUGAGGUUAACUUUAUUAUACAGUCAGGGCUUCCUCUGACCAAAAUGAUUGCUGCAGAGCAAUCAGGGGUACAAGAAGGAGUUAUGUCAGACUGUACUUUAAAUAGUGUCAUACUCUACAGCCAAAUAAUUAAAAAAAAAAAAAAGUCUUCACAACAAAGAAAGAUAAAUUGUGUCCCUGCUGUCUUAAUUAGCCACCCUUAAGCAAGGCAGAUACAGUACGAUACUCAUUAAGUGACAACUAUCCUCUGGCCAUAGGGAGCUCCACUAUUUCAUUUUCUUCGCUUGUUCUCAAAACAUAAUCAUUAAAAAGGUUUGCUGUGUAUCAAGUUUCCAGAGCUAUAAAAUUAGCAACUACCAUAACAUGUGAAAACUGUUAUGGUAGACUGGAGAAGAGUUGCAUAAACUACACUGCUAUUUGUUUCCAGUGGUGUACCUGAACACAGAGUCUCUCUUUAAGCUCAGUCACAUACGUUUGUAUCUCUUCUCCUUGUAGCAUUCUGAAGUACACCAAGGUACACUUUUCAUCAUUUCAAAUGAAUAACUUCUACUUUUUCUUAAGUCUGAGAAUUAUAUGGUUUCAAGCUGUAUUUGGCUACGUCCAUUGAGAGGGUGAUCUCACUUAUGCAGUUUUAGGAAAUCACCUGGACCAGCAGCUAAGGACACAGCAGGAGGAAUUUCUCCUCCAUGGUAUUUUACCAGCCAAGUUGCAAAGGCAAUGGAAGGGGCACAAUUUAAAAAAAUAAAUAAUACACAGUCUUCCAUUUACACGACACUGCAUUUAAAACUGUCUGUAGUAGCCCACGUGCCAGGAGUAUUUCAGAGGAUGAGUUUGGAUAAAUUACAAUCAUUCUUGUGUUUCUCUCUAUGCCCAAAAGGAAUAAACAUUGAAAAAAAAAAAAAAAGAAAACUUACUGUCCCAUAGGGUACCAUCGAUGUUUUGUAGUGUAAAACAUUUUGCUGAGCUCUUCAAUUGUAAGACCUCUAUCAUUCUUCAGCUUUUCUUCAUUCAAUCUGGAUUUCAAAACUUGAUCAAGAGUUUCCUCUUUGUUAUUCACUGGAUCUGGUCGUGGCACGGGCUAUGAAAAACAGCAACGUAAGUAUUUUCUUUCCUCCUCUUUGAGGAAAAACAAAAAGUCAAACUGCAUUGAUAACAUUACUGUUUACUCUUCAAAGCUGAGAAGAAAAGAACUAAAAAGAGAAAGCAUCAUAAAAGGCUCCCUCCCUUCUCAAUCAAAACCACAUCACUGUGGGGAGGACUUCUAGAAGCACCCCAUUACCCCGGCUGCUACAGCUGAUGACUGUGUCCCACUGUCAUUACUACUGCUGAGCUCUCACCCUUACAAUUCACUAAGCUGAAUCAUAAGCAUCAAUUUACUAACACAAAAUACUCCUAUUAUUGCUAUGUAUACAUUUAUUCAUACUGAUGAUCACCAUUUAAUCGUAUUAAGUUUUUGUUUAAGUUUUUAUUGAUUUUUUUUUCCUGUGUGGUUUAUGAGUUGAAUGGAAAUUAAACCCUGAGUUUAAAAUAAGAGCACCUCUUCAUGUCCCCCAUAUACUGCUACAUCUGAACACAGGAGGAUGUAUGAGUUAUCACCUGGACUUCAAACAUCUCUGAGGAGCAUGCUCUUAGACAACCACUAGUUUUCUCUGUAGUGCACAACCAUUUCAGUACCUCAUUUAAUUCACUUCGAGUAAUGCUGUAAUAACCUGAGCAUUUAUUUGCCUGCAGCUUUCUCUCACUUCAGCUAAAAGUCCUCCAUACAGCAGCAGCUAUAUUCAUCACUCACCUCACAGAUGUGCUGCUCAUGUAAGGAACUGUACCUCUGUAUUUCAAAUGGCAAGGAAAAACCAACAGUUGUCCUAAAGGCUCAGAACUACUUAUGCUUUUACACGACUAAGCAGAGCGUACAGUUGGACGUACUUUUGUGUGCUCGUAUGGAAUCUCAAGUGAAGGGUGGUAGCAGACAAUUGUCUUCGAAUCUGAUGUCAAGGCAAGUUCCACUUUGCUAUGAAAAUAAAAAGGGACAUUCUUACAAUCCCUUACAAUUUUCAGUAAUGCUCAGUGACUGAGCAGCCCAAUUCCCAAAGAAAACUUGAUUUCACCCUCUAUUUAUGAAUUCUUCAGAAAUCUAUAAAAUAAAACCUGAAAAAAUAAGGCUCACAAGUACUUGAUCUGAACUUCUUUCUUCUUCCCAGCUAUCUCGUGUUUCUUUCUUUCUUUUUUUAUGGAAGAGAACAAAGGGUUAAAAUGGAGAUCUACAGACAGCUGGAAAUACGGUUUGAAAAAGUCUUUAAGACACCGAGGAAUGACAUUAAAAGUAACAGCAGAUCAUGCACGUCAGCGAUAUGUAGGACAACGUGACCGUAUAAGAAGUGUGGCACCAAUAAGAGAAAGAAUAGGAAAUAAAGCCCCAGGGUUCCAACCUUUAUAUUUAACAAAUGCUGUUUCCACUGAAGUUUGCCACGCAGCAGCACAACAUUACCAGGGCUUUGUCUUAACAAUAAGCAUCGGUGAAAAUGAGUGCUCUUUCUUUUGCUCUUCCACAGUUAAAGAUGCAGUGGUACUGGGGUCAUCAUCAUGUUUAGAAUGAGUCAUGCAUGAUUUUUUAUUAUGCUCAUUUUUGAAACGUUAGCUUCACAAUCAUUAUGACUGGAAACAGUACUUCACUUUAAAUUAUUAUACACCUAUAUCCAAAAGUGGAAGAGAGUGUGUUUGAUACCAUCAGAUGACAACUUGAUGGCAGAGCCAGUAACCUGCAAUAUACAUCGCAUGAGAAGGCCACGCAAAGCACGUUAACAUACCAGUUGUAGUCUUCAGGGAGCACCGAGUAUGUUGAUUUAUGACAAGCAUGACAUACAGCUCCAACUGCGAGGGAAAAAAAAAUACAAACAAAUAUGAAGUACUGUCUAAAUAGAAGCUUACUUUAUCAUGAAGAUUCCUAGUGCUAUCAAAAAUGCAGUAUUUACGUAGCCAUGUCCUACUUUUAUAUUUCCAUUGUACUGUAUUCCUAAGAAAAAAAACAUAGCAUGAACAAAACACAAAUGUCACUGCUAUAUCUCUCUAAAUACAUUAGCAAAAUAGAUGUGUUUUGAGAUCAUAUAGCACUGAAAGGGCAAAGAACAUUAUCAUAUGAUCUACAGGGAAGAUUAUCUGAUCUUUUUCUUUAAUUCAUAGCAACAUUCCCUGUUAAACUGAAUUUGUACUUUGCCAAAGGGUGGUAUAUAUGCUAUGCAAAACUACAACGCCUUGCCUGCUCUACCACUACAGAACUCAAUUCCUUCCACAGGUUCCUGUUACUCCAAAGAAAGCAAUCACAAGUGAAAUCAGGAGCUCGGGUGGACCUAGGGUUUGAACAUAUAGGGGUUAAAUAAGCUAGCUUUGAAAACUAAGGAAGGAGAAUGACACCUCAACAUUUCAUGGUCAGCUGUGCAAACACAAAGUAAGGAACAAUACAAAAUGAAUGGCUUUGACCAGUUUGAAUGCACCAUAAAAAGGUCAGACUGAGGAAGACGUCGAGCCUCUGCGAGGAAGACUUCUGGCUUCAUCCUCACGACCACCAGAGGGAGGCCCCUACUACAGACAACUCAUGUGCCAGGGAAGGGGCAGCAUGUAAACGAAUUCCCAGAAGGAUAAUGAAUAAGUAGAUGGGUUCCAAGAAUUCUGCUGAACGUGUAUGGACUUGGCUUACAAAUUUGUAGAGUUUUUGCUUGCUGGUGCACAAGUUUGGUGCAGUGAUCCCCUUGCACCCGGCCGGCCAAAUAAACCAUACCUGCUUUAUAACCUAACCGGGUUAUAUAGAGUUUGAUUCCACACAUCACAAGAGUUACAAGUAGUAAAGGCCAACAGCACGCUGGACUAUACUAGCAAACAGACCAAGGGAAGAGAUUCUCCUCCUGUGCUCAGCACUCACUAGAUUACAUCUAGAUACCACGGCCACUUUGGGCCCCUUCAAUAAAAGUAAAAUGGAAUAAAUGCUGUGAAUGCCCACCACAAUGGCUAUACAUUGCAACAUCUGCCCUGUGAGGAGAGACUGAAGGACCAAGGCUGUUUUAGCCUUAAGCCACAGCCCUGGAGAGACCUAACAACAGAUCCCAGAGGUCAUAAAGCUUCCAGUGACUGAGCAGAGGGAGCCAGGCUGCUUAGAGCACUAGAGGACAAAAAACACUGAGUGAAACAAGAGAAGCUCUGACUUGACAGAGAAAGCUUUUCCCCUUGAAGAUAACCAGAGAACAGGGCUCAGGGAGGUUUGUGCUGUCUUUCACCUUGGCAGAUUUUAAAGGCCCAGCAGGACAAAGCCCUGAGCAUCCUGGUGACAACACAUAGCUAAGCCUAAUUUGAGCAGGUUUGGCUAGAAACCACCUGAGGACCCCUCCCAAAUGAACCUUCCCAUGAUUCCAUUGCCCUUUUUUAUCAGUA